rnacentral:sRNA from 1 species
UUCAUGAACAUCAAAACCAGACCCACAUUCACGCCUGAAUUUCGCCUCGAAUGUGCGCAGCUUGUGCUCAACAAAGGCUAUUCCGUUCGAGAGGCCGCUCAGGCAAUGAACGUAGGU